CCCAGGACAGACAGGUGGAUGUCUUCCUGAGCAAAGCAGAGUGUUUAUCAGGUACAGACAGCUGUCGUGUGGCAGGCAAUCCAUUCCCAGAGACUGGUUUGUCUACCCCGGGGCCUGCUGGGGUGACCCCUCAUGCACCAGCCCGGCGUGGACCAGCCCCCCUGCCCAAGGACACAGACAACCUGUCUUCUCCUGGCGCAUGAACGGUCUGGAAGACUCCUCGAAAGGCCCUCCAUCCCAUGCCAUCACGCCGAUGGAGCUGCGCAGUCCUCCCCAGUGCCCACCUCUGUCCCGAUGUGGAGGGCAGGCUGGCACCCAGAGAGACACAGUGUGGCCUGCAGUCAUGGCUCUCCGGGGUGAGUGCUCUCGGGCUGAUGCCUCCAGUUUGGACCAGCUGUUCCUCCUGCUCUCCCUCCUCCCCACAGUGACUUCACUGCCCCAAGGCCUGAUGCCACCCUAU